rnacentral:rRNA from 1 species
CCCUGCCAUUUGUACACACCGCCCGUCGCACCUACCGAUUGGAUGGUCCGGUGAAGCCUCGGGAUUGUGGCUGUUGCCUUUACUGGUGGCGGCUGCGAGAACUUGUCUGAACCUUAUCAUCUAGAGGA